rnacentral:rRNA from 1 species
GCAACGCGAAGAACCUUACCUACUCUUGACAUCCAGAGAACUUAGCAGAGAUGCUUUGGUGCCUUCGGGAACUCUGAGACAGGUGCUGCAUGGCUGUCGUCAGCUCGUGUUGUGAAAUGUUGGGUUAAGUCCCGCAACGAGCGCAACCCUUAUCCUUUGUUGCCAGCGGUUCGGUCGGGAACUCAAAGGAGACUGCCAGUGAUAAACUGGAGGAAGGUGGGGAUGACGUCAAGUCAUCAUGGCCCUUACGAGUAGGGCUACACACGUGCUACAAUGGCGCAUACAAAGAGAAGCGACCUCGCGAGAGCAAGCGGACCUCAUAAAGUAUGUCGUAGUCCGGAUUGGAGUCUGCAACUCGACUCCAUGAAGUCGGAAUCGCUAGUAAUCGU